GAUUUCUGACGAACCGGAGUGGCCCGUUCCCUUUCUGGGAAUGAGUGCCGCUUUGAGUUUGUCAUCCUUCCAGAGAGCUGCGUCUACCGUUUACUCGGCCGGACGUAUGCGAUCUGGAUCUAUUACUUUGAAAAAAUUAGAGUGUUUAAAGCAGGCUUAUGCUCUGAAUACAUUAGCAUGGAAUAAUAAUUUAGGACUUUAGUCUUAUUUUGUUGGUUUCCAGGACUGAAGUAAUGAUUGAUAGGGAUAGUUGGGGGUGCUAGUAUUCAGCGGCCAGAGGUGAAAUUCUUGGAUUCGCUGAAGACUAACUUAUGCGAAAGCAUU
rnacentral:rRNA from 1 species